GACGGAGGGUGCGAGCGUUGUUCGGAAUUACUGGGCGUAAAGCGCGCGCAGGUGGGUGCGUAAGUCGGAGGUGAAAGCGCAGGGCUCAACCCUGCGACGCCCUUCGAGACUGCGUGUCUAGGGACCGGUAGAGGUGAGUGGAAUUCCCGGUGUAGCGGUGGAAUGCGUAGAUAUCGGGAAGAACACCGGAGGCGAAGGCGGCUCACUGGGCCGGAUCCGACACUGAGGCGCGAAAGCGCGGGGAGCAAACAGG
rnacentral:rRNA from 1 species